rnacentral:rRNA from 1 species
UACGUAGGGUGCAAGCGUUGCCCGGAUUUAUUGGGCGUAAAGGGCGCGUAGGCGGCCACUGCAAGUCAGUUGUGAAAUCUCCGGGCUUAACUCGGAAAGGUCAACUGAUACUGCAGGGCUAGAGUGCAGAAGGGGCAACUGGAAUUCUCGGUGUAGCGGUGAAAUGCGUAGAUAUCGAGAGGAACACCUGCGGCGAAGGCGGGUUGCUGGGCUGACACUGACGCUGAAGCGCGAAAGCCAGGGGAGCGAACGGG